GGGAGGUAAGAGGGAGGCACUCUGAUCCAGGAUACAGGUUGUGGACACAGGUAAAUACAGAAGGGGGAUUAAUAUAUUUAAUUACAUUUUUCACCAGGGCUCUUCACUCAUCUCAUCUCUUAACUCUCAUUGUGUGUUUCUCCUAAACCCCUUCAAAUCCUGUGUGUUUCUUAAAUUAUUUCACUUUCUUUGUGUGUUUUUCAACCCACGUUACUUCUUCUGCAUCUUUUAACCCCUUAUCUCUUGCCUAUUUCUUAACCCUCUUAUCAUUUUUGUCCCCCACAUACUGACACAGUAACAUGCAUGCAUUAAAAGAUAUGCAAUCAUACUUGCAUUCACAUAAAAACAUGGACAUGCACAAUCGCACAGAGUCACAGCUUAAAUGGUUACAUGUGUGACAGUGUACUCCUGUUCUGGAGCUCCAGGUCAAACUUUAUACUCAGCUGACAAAUUUUUUUAUGGGCUCCGUGGUCCUAUAUCACAGCAUUACACGAUUAUAUACACACAGUCACAUGCACACGCACAGUCAAACAAACAUACUCAGUCACAGCCACAUAGUCAAAUAAACACAGACACAUACACUAUGUAACAUAGUUCCAGGCUCACACAAACAGUUACGGUUGAAGUCACACACACAAUUACAGCCACAUACAGUUACAAACACCAAUUCUGCCUCCUGGGUACUAAAUAGUAGGCAUGUGGAACAUGGGCUGGAGCACAUUUCCUGGUGUCUAGUAGUUGGAAAACAGAGAAUGCUUAUUGUUUUCCCAUUUGCAUGCAGCGGUGUUUAGGAAUACAUGGCUGGUCCUGGGCCAGUGGAGUGAGCCUGUGCCUCUGCUGCUUCAGUGGGGGUGACUGCUCAGAGUCCUCGUCCCCUUCUCCACCUCCAGUUUAGCCGCAGUUCGGUUGCAUCUCUGGUCAAUUUCUUUAUUUGAUAUAGUGGCUGCCCCCUAACAAUAAAACAUUGUUUGUUUGUUUUUUGGGUGUGAUAUAUCGGACUCUAAAUCACAAAUCAAACAAAACUGUUUGGCCAUUACUUGUGUUGUUUGUUAAUGAUAUGCCCAUAAAGUGCUUUUCUAAUUAUGGAAUCCGGAUAACCUGCCAAUCGGCCAAAAUGCAGACGAAUUGCAAUUCUUUUGAAAAUGAAUGAAGAUGUCAAGCUCACCCCUUCUUAAUUAAUUCCUAAACAACUGCCUGUGGAUAUAGAGACUUGCAAACUUUUUCCCAUUGGGUUCUUGGAUAAAACAUGGACUACUGCCGAACGUUAAUUAGGUCUUUUUUUGUCACUAAAAGAGUGGAGGGCUGUUACUUAAAGAAGAUCCAGUAUUUACUUAAUGCCUGUGUGUCUGUCUAUCGUUAUCAUUCUCUCUAUAUGGUAAAAGAAAAUCUUCUUUAAGAAAUGCAAUCAUUAUUUACAUUACACUCCCAGAAUGACAUGCAAUUAUAUGCAAAUCAGUAUACACAAAAUGUUAUCAAUAAAAUUCAAAGAUCUAGACGAUAUGCAGGAUUCAUAUAUAAAUAUAUUUUGUAAAUGUAGUGUAUUCCAUAUUCUGCUAGUAUGGCAAAUUGGUAAAAUAAAUUUUAAAAUAUAUAUUUUGAUUUGUGUUCCAUUUCCCAUUAACCAUAAUAGUGACCUACAUAAAUUAAUAUCACCUGGAUGUACCCAGUUGCAAGAUUAAUAUUUCAUUUUCAUUUUUUGCUUUCCUGAUGAAAUUACAAAUCAGGAUUAAUUCUGAGUGACCUUGCGUUGGCAAUUUUCUAAUCUUGGUGUGUUAUCCUUUCUUCUUCAGGGAUAACUGCAUUGCCAUUAACGUGCUAAGUCAUCGGCAAUCCUUCAUAUCAGAGAUGUCCGGUGUUUUAAGGCCAAGGGCCACGUGCAAUUCAGAAACACAAGGAGGAGGAUGGGAAAAUAAUAUUAAAUCUAUUUUAAUGAUGUACCAGAUGAGGCCUUAAGGGGAGCGUACCUAUCAUAUUAUUAUACAAAACUGCUAUAUUUAAUACGUUAAAAGAGGAGUGGAAGUUAAAGGCGGUGAGGUCCAACAAUAAAUAGCGUUAGGGUCAAAAUAUGCUAAAUAAGUAAGUAAAUGCUGACCAUCUAAUGUCUCAGCUGUCUAUAGAAUUUAUAAGGAGAAAAAUAACCAGUCACACUCAAGGGUUAAACUAGACCUGUCUGAGAAUGAAAAUUGGCCAGAUUCCAGCCCAUUGACAGAAAUUGCUUCUACUGUAUAGAUUGGUUUUAACAGGAAACUUUGCUUGAUAACUCCAGGAGAUAUAGGCAUUUAAAAAUAGGCCUGUAAAAGACUGCAGCUGCUGCAGAACAGCUUGCGGUAGAGCUGAGAAAUGCGCAUUCUUUUCUUGAAGUGAACCCAGACAUCAUCACGUAGAAAUUGAGAGAUAUGCUCCCCAAGAAGUGCUGCAGGCUAUAAAUAUUGCAUUUAAUGAUCCCCAAACACAGCCCCUUAAAACCAUUUAUCAUUUACAGUCAUUUUAUUCACCGUAAUACACUGAUUUAAUUAAACUGUUUGCAUCUAAAAUAUUUAUGCACAAAUACAAUUUUGGUAAUUUUCCUAGGUUUUUGAAAAGUAAAAGAUAAUUCCUUCUUAUAUUUAAAGGGUUAAUAAAAAGUAUAAAUGUAAAAAAAAAAUGGACAUUUGUGCUCAAGCAAGAGCAAAAAUAUUACCCUAAAUUGUAGGUGCAGACACUACAAUGCUGGAGGGUGAAAUGAUAAUAUUAAAUAGUACGGCAAUAGUUCAACGUGUUAUUUGGAGAGAUGGGCAGUUAAGGGAAACUGGGAGAGUAAAAACAUGAGGAUAUUUAUUAUAUACAAAUGACAUUAAGUUAUUUUAUCAUCUUGAUGUGUUAAGUCAUUCCCUCCAGUCACAAAAUCAUCCAAAAGUCUUAAACGCUUCAUGAAAAAAAUAACUUGAAAUGUAUCCCUUCAUCUCUCAUUUAACCCAGUCUGACGCUUUAGGAUGAACAAGUGUUUAAAAAAUGUCAUUAUCAUUUAUUACAAUGGGGUAAUUGCAAAAGUAUUUAUAAGCAGCAACACAUGAGAGCGUAUAUACACAGGUAAACCCCCUCCCUCCCCACAUGUUGCUGUGAGUACCAUACCUGGGUCAGAGGCAUCCCACCUACAGCCAGGUAAUUCAGGGCUGUAAUUUGGGGAGGGGGUCCUGCAGCUCCCCCGGUCUCUCCCCUGCUCUGCAGACUCUGCUCCCUUAUGUGUGUGCAGUGAGUGAGUCUGGGACUGAAGGACAGGAUCAGUUACUAUAAUUAUGUGCAGCCCUGCCCAUUCCUUGCCUCAUCUCUCUCUCGCUCUCUCUCCAUUCUUAAAGAAGCACUAACCAUGCUGUCUAUGGCUGUCACUCACACUGUGUGACAUGAUGCUGCGUUCAGGAGGUGCUGAUCUCCCUGAUAGCCUCUAUCAAAGUUUUCUUCACUGGAAGGGGGAGUGGGCUGAUUAUAUGUAUGGUUAAACUUAAAUGACAAGAACACUUAAUUAACUUUAAAAGUUACAUUUAUGAGUAAAUAAAAAAAAAUACCAGAAUUAAUUUAAGAUGUUGCAUUUCAAAUACUAUGUGUAAAAUGAAGAAUGUCAUGUGAGUACAUUAACGGCACAUUGUUCAUUAAAAAUAAACUUUAUUACAGAGCCAUCUAUAUAGAGUGCUAUUAAAUAUCCCUAACUAGGGUUAAUGGGUGCCUAGAGUCAUAUUACAUGUCCCCAGCUAGGGGGCAUUAUAUCAUGACAUUUGUAACUCAAUAUUCUCUAAAUCAGAUCCCUGUAUUUAUAUUUAUUACAGGUCAUUCCAUAUGAAUUAUCAUAUAUAUAAGAAUACGAGUAUGAUAAUGUAUAGCAUAUAUAAAAGCAUGUUAGUAUUUAAUAUUACUUAAUUUAGUUCUCGGAUUUACUUUCAGGUAGAAGAUGGGGAUAUGACUGAUGGGAAGUGUACACCUCUGCAAAGUACGCCUGCUGACUGUAAUAACAUGCUGUUCUAUAGGAGUUCUUUUUGGGGAUAUUUACGAAACAAGGAUGUCUGGUGAAUUUACAGUGGAAUAACAUCGUUAAAGCCAAAAUAACAAGCUGGGAAAAUAAAUGAGCAACUAAGGUUUUUUUGUUUUUUUUUAAAUACAAUUUUCACAUCUCCACAAUCCCUGAUAUAAGCACCAAAACGUAGUGAAAUUUGUUCUAAAAUUUAGGUAAAAUGUCUAUAACUCAAAGUUACAAAUUGGACGAUUAUUUUCUAUAGCUCUCAUCUAUGCUAUUCUACAACAUACAAACCAACAUUCUGCAGCCUACAUGAAGGACAAAAACCAAAAAAAAAAAAAAAAUAACCCACUUGAUUGCAUCCAUUAGUUGACUUAUAGAGUAACCAGAAAGUGAGAAAAAAAAAAAAAAUGAGGAGAUUGCAAAAUGCAUGUCAAGAUAGCUGAAAUGGAACAAUUCUGUAACUUAAGCUAUAUUUCCAGCUCGGCUGCUUAUGCCCACAAAUUCUGAUUCCCUUGUCAAGUCUCCACAAUUCCCACAUUAGCAAAUAACCUCAUUUAUGUUUAACACAUGAAUAGCCUGUGAAUUGUCUGUACAGGAAUCCCAUCAUAUAGCAUUCUCUCACUGGAAAAUGAAACCCCACUUCCAUCAUGACUGCUGUUUAUCUGCAAUAUUAAUGAGAAGAGGAAAGACGAUCAUAGGCCUGGCUACCUGUAGAGACCGUCCCGGAACAUGGAAGCUGUUCAGUCUUAAGACGAUCGAGAGGUCAAGGACUUUCCGUCGUACUAAUACAAGUGGCCAAUUGCAGUGAUGUCUCUCUGGUACGUUGGGCUUUUACUUUGCCACAUAUAAGAAAGUGGCAGUAAUCAGAGAGGAAAGGUGUAAGCCUUAUCAUCAGAAAGCCAAGGAUACUGAAACCAUUUACAGCACGCUGAUAAAUGGUUGGUCUUCUUACAAAUUGGAAUUUGAUAGGAACAAAAGAGCAGCAUGUGUAAGGACACCGCUUUAGAAUGGGGGGGGAGGGGGGGCUUUUUUGCAUGAAAAUACAUUUCACUCACUAAAUUUUAGAGAGUCUGGUUUUAUCGCACACAUCUUGUGAUUUGAGACAGUAAAAUGUAAUGUAUAUGGUAUUUAUUAACAUUUUACCAUUAGUAGGCCAGGGUAACAAUGCAGCGAGGGACUGUGGGAAUGGGUAAGAAGGCAAUUUGGGAUAAUUAAGUAAACAAUUAACAUGUGGUUAU